CCAGACGGUCGGGCGGUCGCGGUCCUCGCAAGAGGGUCGAGGAAAGUCCGGGCUCCACGGUGACAAGGCGGUGGGUAACGCCCACCGGGAGCGAUCCCAGGGAUAGCGCCACAGAAAGCAAACCUCCUCCCUACGGGGCGGGAAGGGUGAAAGGGUGGGGUAAGAGCCCACCGCGGACCUGGCGACAGGGACGGCAUGGCAAGCCCCGCCUGGAGCAAGACCGAAUAGGGAC
rnacentral:RNase_P_RNA from 1 species